rnacentral:rRNA from 1 species
UACGGGGGGAGCAAGCGUUGUUCGGAUUUACUGGGCGUAAAGGGCGCGUAGGCGGCCACCGCAAGUCGGUUGUGAAAUCUCUGGGCUUAACCCAGAAAGGUCAACCGAUACUGCGGGGCUAGAGUGCAGAAGGGGCAACUGGAAUUCUCGGUGUAGCGGUGAAAUGCGUAGAGAUCGGGAGGAACAUCAGAGGCGAAGGCGGCGAACUGGAUAGUAACUGACACUGAACUACGAAAGCGUGGGUAGCAAACAGG